rnacentral:tRNA from 1 species
AAUAUGGCUCAAUUUGGUAGAGCACUAGGUUUGGGACCUAGGGGUUGGGGGUUCAAAUCCCUCUAUUC